UUUUGAAUGGAUUUUUUUGUUUUGGCAAGAGCAUGAGAGCUUUUACUGGGCAAGAAGACAAGAGAUGGAGAGUCCAGCCGGGCCUGCGCUUAAGUGCGCGGUCGUGCUAGGCUUGUAAGUUUCUUUCUUGCUAUUCCAAACGGUGAGAGAUUUCUGUGCUUUUGUUAUAGGACAAUUAAAACCGUUUCAAUACAACACACUGUGGAGUUUUCAUAUCUUUGCAACUUUUUCUUUGGGCAUUCGAGCAAUCGGGGCCCAGAGGUAACAAACACAAACAAUUUUAUCUAUUCAUUAAAUUUUUGUCAAAAACAANAAUUUUCGUAACUGGAAAUUUUAAAAUAUUAAAAACUUUCAACAACGGAUCUCUUGGUUCUCGCAUCGAUGAANAACGCAGCGAAAUGCGAUACGUAAUGUGAAUUGCAGAAUUCCGUGAAUCAUCGAAUCUUUGAACGCACAUUGCGCCCCUUGGUAUUCCAGGGGGCAUGCCUGUUUGAGCGUCAUUUCCUUCUCAAACAUUCUGUUUGGUAGUGAGUGAUACUCUUUGGAGUUAACUUGAAAUUGCUGGCCUUUUCAUUGGAUGUUUUUUUUCCAAAGAGAGGUUUCUCUGCGUGCUUGAGGUAUAAUGCAAGUACGGUCGUUUUAGGUUUUACCAACUGCGGCUAAUCUUUUUUAUACUGAGCGUAUUGGAACGNUAUCGAUAAGAAGAGAGCGUCUANGCGAACAAUGUUCUUAAAGUUUGACCUCAAAUCAGGUAGGAGUACCCGCUGAACUUAAGCAUAUCAAUAAGCGGAGGAAAAG
rnacentral:rRNA from 1 species